rnacentral:lncRNA from 10 species
CCGGGCGGGGCGUGGCGGGCAGGCCGGCCAGGCUGUGCGGGAGGAGAUGACUUUGCAGGAAUUGCGCUCCCAGAGUUUGCCGGCAGAUCUCUCCCGCGAUGGCCCGGCCAAGGGGUUAGGAAACAUUCCUGCCAUUCCGUGCUCUCCCCUACCCCACAAGAACCACACGCACGCACACACGCACUCUUGGAUCGAAUGUGCCUUUAUUUAUAAAUCAAUCCAGCCCCAGCCCAGGUUCGGUCCGGUCCCGGGAGCACCUGCGCCCCGCGUCUGCCUUCAGGCUAAGCCUGCGAGGGGUUCGGUGUGGCCCUCCCAGUGAGUCAGAAUGGGCUGUGUUUCCUGUGGUUGUUGUGGAACAGUUUGUCCUUUUUACUCUCCGCCCCCCCCGCCCCGUCUCCACCCCCUUGGUAAAUAUAGCGCUCACGUUUCAUCAUCUCUUUGUCCAACGAGUGCCAGACACCCCGGCCCGCGGCCCCCGCCGCCUCCCUCCUCCUCUCCGCUCGGUUACCUCGCAUAACCUCGCGCGGGCAGGCACCGGGCAGCAGCUCUCCCCGCGGCCGCGCCCGCCCGGCACCCAGCGCUUCCCGCCGCAGCACACCCCCAACCCAUUCUCCCCUCCCCUUCUUCCAGUUCCCCCUUCUGUACGGCCCCCAUGCUCUUGUCCCACCCCCUCUACUCGGCGUCCGGGUACUGGGUCGAGACGUGUGUAGGUGUAGGGAGGUGGAUAGCCCUUUUCCGAGCCGUAGGCGUCACCCCUACGCCCAGGCCCAGGCCCAGUGCUGGAUCCUGCACUUUCCCAACCUCCCCCUCCCAAGUUCCAAGGUUGCCCUCUGUUCCCCUCCCAAGCGCAGGUGACAAGCUGCUGAGACAGUGUCUGAUUCACCGACAGCUGAACCAGCUACUGGUACUUGGAGUGAAUAAACCAGCAGACCAAUUCAGAGCCCAUUUCAGUGGUGCAGGUGAGAGGUGUUAGAGACCUGGACAAGGUGGUGGCAGAUGAAGAUGGAGAGAAGAGAGAUAGGAUCUCGCUAUGUUGCCCAGGCUGACCUCCUGCCUCAUGCAUCCCUCACCAAGCUUAACAGGUACAUCACCCAUAAACGAAAAGAAUCUUCCUAAAACACCUGGAACCAAUUCCUGGAGUAAUCUCAGCUUGGCAGAGGUGAGUCGGAUGAGAUGGAUUACUUGUUGUCAAAACAGUAAGUAAUGGAAAGUUGUGGUCAUUCUUUUGAGAUGUAGAGUGGGAAACAUUUAAGCAUUUCAACUUAGCUUAACAGCAAGCUCAGGAAAUAGACAUUUAUGGUUCCAAAUCUUCCCUUUCCUACCUGUUUUACUUAUUGAUUUUAAAAUUACCACCCAAAGUGCCUUAUUCAGGUUGAUUUUUUAUUGUUUUCUUGGCACAGAAGUAUUUGGAGAAGGUAAACACUGACUAAAAUUAAACAUGGCAGUACUUUGUACAAAUAAAUAUGGUAAACAGAGAUGUGAGAAAAUGCCACUGGGAUUCAUUGGUUAGUCUGAUUAAAUGAGCUCCAGUUGAAGUGCUUCUCUUUGGCAGCCCAGAGUUCAAAGAAUGACAAAAUCCCACACUCAGGCUUUGCAUCCGUUGUGAGAGGCAGAGGAGUGGGAAA